rnacentral:rRNA from 1 species
ACGGGUGAGUAACGCGUGGGUAACCUGCCUUAUACAGGGGGAUAACAGUUGGAAACGACUGCUAAUACCGCAUAAGCGCACAGUGCUGCAUGGCACGGUGUGAAAAGAUUUAUCGGUAUAAGAUGGACCCGCGUCUGAUUAGCUAGUUGGUGAGGUAAUGGCUCACCAAGGCGACGAUCAGUAGCCGGCUUGAGAGAGUGAACGGCCACAUUGGGGCUGAGACACGGCCCAAACUCCUACGGGAGGCAGCAGUGGGGAAUAUUGCACAAUGGGGGAAACCCUGAUGCAGCGACGCCGCGUGAGUGAAGAAGUAUUUCGGUAUGUAAAGCUCUAUCAGCAGGGACGAAGAAAUGACGGUACCUGACUAAGAAGCCCCGGCUAACUACGUGCCAGCAGCCGCGGUAAUACGUAGGGGGCAAGCGUUAUCCGGAUUUACUGGGUGUAAAGGGAGCGUAGACGGUGAUGUAAGUCAGAUGUGAAAGCCCAGGGCUCAACCCUGGGACUGCAUUUGAAACUAUGUGACUAGAGUGCAGGAGAGGUAAGUGGAAUUCCUAGUGUAGCGGUG